GUAGGUGUGGGUGCGGCAGCGGAGGUAAGAGGGAGUGGGGUAGGGGUGGCCGGAAUGAGUGUGGGGGAAGCGCGGGGAGGGGGUUGUGUAAGUCGGAUGUGAAAGCCCACGGCUCAACCGUGGAGGGUCAGUGGAGACUGGGGGAGUUGAGUGCAGAAGAGGAAAGCGGAAUUCCACGUGUAGCGGUGAAAUGCGUAGAGAUGGGGAGGAACACCAGUGGCGAAGGCGGCUUUCUGGUCUGGAACUGACGCUGAGGCGCGAAAGCGUGGGGAGCAAACAGGAUUAGAUACCCGUGUAGUC
rnacentral:rRNA from 1 species